UUACUGAUUGUAACUUUGAUGAACUUUUUACAUGGUUGCCAUGGAAUAAACUCUUCAGUAUGUCAGAUAAUUUGCAACCCCAUUACUUGAUUAAAUAAAGUUGAAUGUGGUCUGAUUUUCACCUUUUAAAUUAAGCAAUGCACACACAUUGCAUCACUUUGACCCUUAUGAUUGUGCUGCAUUCAGAAACUCAACAAGUGAAAUAUGUUUAACUUAAAAUAUAAAUUGUAUGUAAAAUGGAAAUGGCCAAAUGUAUUUAGGCAGCAGGUUCAGGUUAAAGCUCUAGUUCUAUUUAUUUCUACAGCACAUAGCUGCGUUCAGACUGACACAGAAACACAGUCUCUUAAAAUAAUCUCAUUUUUAAACUGCAGUUUACGACAGGUCGAUGUUGGCUUGUGAUCAACAUGUGCUGUUUGUACUGUGAGGUCACAUCGCUUUUGUUGUCUCUUCUGACAUUUGUCUUGUUGUUUUUGAUGACCAGAGUCCACGACCUAUAAACUCCAUUAGAGGACCACGAUUUAGAUGAAACUGGGACUCAAAUUCUGAAGCAACUUCCCAACACUGGAUACCAAAUGGUCGUUGGGCCUUGAAUGCACCACAUACACGUCUACAAGGAUAGAAAGGGUCUGGAGACGUGUUCAUAACGGCCUACUUGGAUCUCUCCUACUUCAUUUUUACCUUGAGGGAGAAGAACUUCUCAACCAAUCGACAAUGAAACUCAUUAAACAUCAUGAUGCAGGAUGGCUGGGCCUGCUGCGACUACGUAGCGAGGGAAACCAGUCCUACUGAGAGAAACCAGUCCCACUGAGGGAAACCAGUCCCACUGAGAAUGAGGGAAACCAGUCCCAUUGAGGAAACCAGUCCCACUGAGAAUGAGGGAAACCAGUCCCACUGCAACUGUGGAGUCUCCAUGAACACGAAGCCCACAGGUCCACAUGGAGGUUGGAGUUGACUGGACCACGUUGUCACGGUUUGGUUCUGCUUCCUGUUUUAUUUUGUAGUUUUCAUGUCUCUUGUGUUUCUGGGUUAGCUUCACUUCCUGCCUUGUCUUGUGAUUGCCUGAUUGUUUCCACCUGUGUCCAAUCACCUGCACCUCACUGGUGUGUUUAAGCCCUGUGUGCCUGUUGUCCUUUGUCGCGUCAUUGUCAAGUCUCCCUAUUGUUGGAGCACGUGUUUUCAUUUGUUUGGAAUAAAGAGCACUUUUUUUGGAAACCUGAAGACUCAGUCCUGCCUCCGACCUGCACUGGCGACGUGACAGAAUGGUAGUGAUGGCAAAGUGAAGCUUUCUGAACCAGUGAAGCUUUCCAGCCAAUUGUAUCGGAAAAAAGUUCAUUCAUUCAAUUCAUCGCAAACUCUAUGCUGACCUCUGCUGUUGGAUACGUGUAGUGCAUGUUUCAAAUAGACUACCAGUAUCAUUUG